UACGGAGGGGACUAGCGUUGUUCGGAAUUACUGGGCGUAAAGAGCUCGUAGGCGGUUUGGUAAGUCUGGUGUGAAAUCUCCACGCUCAACGUGGAGGGGCCACCCGAUACUGCCAUGACUGGAGUCCGGUAGAGGAGUGUGGAAUUCCCGGUGUAGCGGUGAAAUGCGUAGAUAUCUGGAGGAACACCGGUGGCGAAGGCGGCAUCCUGGACCG
rnacentral:rRNA from 1 species